CCUGGGUUGCUUCUACCUUUUCUAUACUGUGAAUAUGUUUUUAAACUGCAUGUAUAAAUGGAUGAAGUGUACCAAUGAGGAAGGCACAAGAGUUACAUUUGGUUACACCAAGCCUUCACAGGGACCAAAAAUAGGUGUUAAAAAAAAGUGGCCGGGCACGGUGGCUCACGCUUGUAAUCCCAGCACUUUGGGAGGCCAAGGCGGGCGGAUCACGAGGUCAGGAGAUCGAGACAACAGUGAAACCCCGUCUCUACUAAAAAUACAAAAAAUUAGCCGGGCGUGGUGGCGGGCGCCUGUAGUCCCAGCUACUCGAAGAGGCUGAGGCAGGAGAAUGGCGUGAACCUGGGAGGCGGAGCUUGCAGUGAGCCGAGACUGCGCCACUGCACUCCAGCCUGGGCGACAGAGCGAGACUCCGUCUCAAAAAAAAAAAAAAAAAAAAAAAAAAAAGUAAGCUUGGUUUUCAUAAAGGGUAGUAUUUUGGGGAUACAAGACAAGUGAUUAAAAGCAAAAGUCUGGAGUCAGACUGCCUAAGUUUGUAUCUCAUUUCUGCCACCUACUAGUGGUAUGACCUAGGGCUAGUAGAUCAACCUCUCUGAGCUUCGGUUUCCUAAUCUGUAAAAUGAGGAUGAUGACAUCUACACAGAGUUGCUCUGAUGUUUAUGAGAGAUAAUCUAUAGAAAAUUGUCUUGUACAGGGCCUGGCAUAUAAUAUACACUCAACAAGUAACUGUUAAUUAGUGAUGCAAGAAUGCUCUCAGGAGAGCUUAUCUAGUUAAUACAUAUAUAACUGCUUAGCCUACAUAAUGUAUACUUUUGUUUUUAAAAGAGAAUAUUCAUGAGGUGAGAAAGUUUAGCCCCAAAUGUUAACUAAGAAAAAAAAUGGGAGUCACAUAUUUCAACAAAAAGGAAGAGCAAAUGUUUGGGAUAUAAACAUAGAAGAUGUUUAAAUCUCUUUGAAAAUGUACAAUCAUAUGGACAGUGAUCCUUUUCUAGAUGACAAGUUACAUAUCCUACUGGAUAUUUGUCAAUUCAUGCUGUUACUCAUAUACAUCAAGCAUUCAAAUGCAUGUGGUAAUUCUCUACUUUAUUUGGACAGUCCCAGAUUUGUUGCAGAAAGAGCUCUAAUAGAUACGCCAAAGAAAAGGAUUCUCCCAUUGAUGGAAGAGCGGGUAAUCAGUAUGCACCUAAAGUAGAAUAUUAAGCAUCCACUUUGCACAGGAGCCCAAGGAGUAAGUCACUACAUGUCAAUUUUGUCCAAAGAUCCAAUCAUAGAAGCUAACUUUAAGAUUGAAGAAAUUUGCAACUCUGCAUCUCAGAAUGUUACACCCAAAUAGAAGAAUGUGGGGUGAGGAAUGUUCUUUCUUGAUUUGUCACCACAUCGAUCAACUAGGAAAAGAAAUGAUGCUCUUGCCCUUAUGUGGCCUUCCAUCGCUUUUAUCUUCAUCUUUGGUAACAAAGAAGCUACUAGACAAUUGCUAGAGGGGAUGGUCAGAGCAGCCCUCUGCAUAGACAGGAGUCUGACAAGUGCUAGGCCCUUUGUCCUUCAAACCUGGCAGAAGGUAGGAGCUGUAACUUCCACAUUUUGUUACCUGCAGUUAAUUGAAUUUAAUUGAAGUGGGGUAAGUCGAAUGUGAUGGCAGAAUUCCUCCCCAUGUGGUCCAGUUUGGAAGUGCUCACUACUUGCAGAUCCCCCUUCAUCAAGUUCAGAAGGGGAUUCACUUACUAAAACGGUUUCCUAACUGGUCUCCUGUUUCUCUCCUUGACCUAUCUGGUCUUUUCACAACCCAGCAACUGAAGUGACCCCUUCAGUAUGUGGGUCAGAUCCCAUCCCCCUUUACUCCACGUUCAAAGCCCUCCAUGGCUCUCCCACCUAAUGCAGAGUAAAAGCUGAGGUCUUUCCAAUGACCUGCAAAGCCCUGCAUGAUCUGGCUCCAGGUUGCAGACUGUUAACUUCUCAGAAAGACAGCAAGGGAGCUCUCUGGGUUCUUUUUAUGAGGGCACUAAUCCCAUUUAUAAGGGCUCCCACCCUCAUCACUUGAUCACCUCCCAAAGGCCCCACCUUCUAAUACCAUCACAUUGAAGGUUAGGAUUUCAAUAUAUAUGAAUUUUGGGGGCACACAAAUGUUUAGUCCAUAACACAUUGCAACCCUUACCUGCAUUCCCAAUUAGUACUCCACCAGGCACUUACUAGCUUCCAGCAUCCUCUGUAAUUGUCUUAUUUAUUAUGUUUAUUGUUUGCAGUCUACAGCAAGAAUGUAAGCUGCAUUAAAAUAAGUACUUUCAUAAAUUUUGUUCACUGUUAUAACCUGAGUGCUUGGAAGAGUGCCUUGUGCCUAGC